rnacentral:lncRNA from 1 species
UUGGAAUUAUAGUAUUUUGCAGCGGCGUGCUGGUAGUUCUGAAUUCGGAUGAGCACUCGAUCUCGGCGCUCGUUAAUGAGGUCGAGAUCAUCCAAGAGCAUAGCAUUGUUGAGUUCCUCUCGUUCGGGUAAUAACCUUCUUCGAACACCGGGAAAUUCUACUUCUGCGGGAAUCAUGCAUUCCGUGCCGUAUACCAGAGCGAAGGGAGUUUCUCCCGUUGCUCGCCUUGGGGUGGUACGGUGAGACCAGAGGACUCCCUCGAG